rnacentral:lncRNA from 1 species
GUUUCUCCUAAUGCUAUCCCUCCCCUAGACCCCUACCCCGCAACAGGCCCAGUGUGUGAUGUUCCCCUCUGUGUGUCCAUGUGUUUUCAUUGCUCAACUCCUGCUUAUGAAUGAGAACAUGUAGUGUUUGAUUUUCUGUUCCUGUGUUAGUUUGCUGAGAAUGAUGGUUUCCAGCUUCAUCCAUGUCCCUGCAAAGGACAUGAACUCAUCCUUUUUUAUAGCUGCAUAAUAUUCCGUGGUAUAUAUGUACCACAUUUUCUUUAUCCAGUCUAUAAUUGAUGGGCAUUUGGGUUGGUUCCAAGUCUUUGCUAUUGUGAACAGUACCGCAGUAAACGUCUCAGCCUCCCGAGUAGCUGGGGCUGCAGGCGCCCAGCUGUGGGUUUGUUAUAAAUAACUCUUAUUAUUUUGAGAUGCUUUCUGUCAAUACCUAGUUUAUUGAGAGUUUUUAGCAUNNNNNNNNNNNNNNNNNCGCCUCCUGGGUUCAAGCAAUUCUCCCACCUCAGCCUCCUGAGUAGCUGGGACUGCAGGCAUGUACCACCAUGCCUGGCUAAUUU